AGUUAAAAAUUCCAUUCAUUUGUUUUGUUAAAAAUUGAUGUGGGUGGUGGAAAAAUCAGAUAGUAACAUGUGCCUCUUGCUGACGUACAAAAACUAGUUUUUAACAGCAGAAAUGAAUGAAAUUUUUAACA
rfam:Gossypium raimondii Chr01_contig_387, whole genome shotgun sequence.